rnacentral:rRNA from 1 species
GACAGAGGCCUCAAGCGUUAGGCGGAAUCACUGGGCUUAAAGCGUGUGUAGGCGGAUCGUUAAGUGUCUUGUGAAAUCCCACGGCUCACCCGUGGAACUGCUGGGCAUACUGGCGAUCUUGGGCCAUUCAGGGGCAACUGGAACAAGCGGUGGAGCGGUGAAAUGCGUAGAUAUCGCUUGGAACGCCGAAGGUGAAAACAGGUUGCUGGGGAUGUGCCGACGCUGAGACACGAAAGCCAGGGGAGCAAACGGG